UGGGGAAUAUUGCACAAUGGGCGCAAGCCUGAUGCAGCAACGCCGCGUGAACGAUGAAGGUCUUCGGAUCGUAAAGUUCUGUUGCAGGGGAAGAUAAUGACGGUACCCUGUGAGGAAGCCCCGGCUAACUACGUGCCAGCAGCCGCGGUAAUACGUAGGGGGCUAGCGUUAUCCGGAUUUACUGGGCGUAAAGGGUGCGUAGGUGGUCUUUCAAGUCGGUGGUUAAAGGCUACGGCUCAACCGUAGUUAGCCUCCGAAACUGGAAGACUUGAGUGCAGGAGAGGAAAGUGGAAUUCCCAGUGUAGCGGUGAAAUGCGUAGAUAUUGGGAGGAACACCAGUAGCGAAAGCGGCUUUUUGGCCUGCAACUGACACUGAGGCGCGAAAGCGUGGGGAGCAAACAGG
rnacentral:rRNA from 1 species